GACAGCAGGGGUGGUAUCUGGCACAAAAAAACAUAAAAAAGAUCCUCCUCAUGCAGCUUAAAUUAACACUAGCUGUUCAGAGCAGGGCUGUUUAUUACUGUAGGCUAUAACAGUGCUACUGAAAGGACAAGAAAGGGUGGGAGACAGAAUAGGCUGGACACCGAAGGGGGAGGCGGAGGGGGAAGGAGGGCGCAGGACACGAGCAGAGUCAUCAGCAGAGUCCAUUUUAUCGUUCGGUUACCGUCCGACAUUUCUCCUCUCUCUUUAUUCGCACGCACAGCCGGCCCGAAGCUGCCGCAGAUCGCAAAUGCGAGGCGAGGACAUGGCCUAGUAAUGGCACAUGGCGGGCGCACUGCGGUAAAUAUUACAGGAUUUUUACAACCCCCGGCUCACUGUUGCAAUCAAGGCAGGACAGUCACACCCAGGUGCUCAUCUGGCUUUGAUUGCGUGCCAACAGUCAGCGUAGCUUCUUUUUUUUUUUCGACUCAUUAACGCGUCGAGUUUAAGAAGAAUUCACAAAGCGAUCACGCCAGAGUUUCUUUUUGGGGUUUUUCUAUAAGGGUGGACGAUUAGCUUCCUGGAAGUUUUGCGAUAAAGGACGUGCAGGUCAAACACAAACUGAUAUCAAGCUCGAAAGCAGCGACAUCUCUGAGAAUCUUUUCCAUGAAUCUCAAACUUGCCAGUUGUCCCAGAAUCCUUUAAUCAUUUGUGAGUGUUUGCUGUGACUCUCCUCCUCAGGAGAAGUGCACUGUACCCCCCCCUCCUCCCCACCCUACUACCCUCCGACACCCUGCAAACCCUCGCUCCCCUCCCUUCGCCCGCCCCGUGCACGCGCACGUCACGCCGGCGAUGAAAACGCGGCGUGCGCACGCACUGCCCACACGUCCGUGUUUCAUCAUCAGCUGAGCCCUUUCUCCUCCACUCACAGCUCGUCUCCCCUCCCUCACUCGCCCCCUCCCCUCCCGGCUCUUGCUUCUUUUUCUAUCCAUCGCUCUCCUCCUCCUCCUCUCUCCCUGGGUCCCAGCCACAUGCGAGAGGGUAGACUAGGACGCUGCAGCUCUGAAAAAAAGAGAGAGAGAGAGAGAGAGAGGGAGAGAGAGAGAGGGGAAAAACGCUCUGCUGCUAUUUCUACAGGCGGGUCCUCCCCUUUAGCUAGUCUGUGCCAAAAGAGGGAGGGAUUUUUUACUACUCCCAGUCCCAGGAUUUUAACCCUCUGCCUGCUCUCACUUCUCUCUGCAAGAUCUGCUCCUCAAUAUCAUGCAACAAGUGGCUUUGCUUUACUCCUGCCUCGACAUCGCUGCGCCAUUCGCGAAGACGUUUUUCGGGGACCCCCCCGUUUUCUUCACUCAGGCGACCACUGACCACGCAGAUUUGGUCAGUUUUCGGCGCUUUCGGGCUGUUCGGUAGAGUUAAACCGGACUGGGUAGAAUCAGUGUUUUUUUUUUUUUUUUUUUUUUUUUUUUUUUUUUUUUUUUUUUUUUGGUUUGCGCCCUACCAUGAUGCGAAGGCUUUUCAAGCACGUGCUUCCAGAUUGCUCGCCAUGCUUCCUUUUCUCGUGAAGGACGAAGACAUCGUUUCUUUUUUUUGUUGUUGUUGUUGUUUGUUUUUUUUUUAAAGCAUGUUUGAGCAGCUGCUUGAUUUCAUGUUACCUGUGCAUGUGUCUUGAUUUCAACAGAUGAUUUCUCAUGUAUUUUCCUGCGCUCUUAUCUCCUUCACCCUCCUCCUUCCUCACCCUUUCUAUCUCUAAACCUCUCCCUCUUUUGGGUUUUCUGCCCCACCCUCUCUUCCUCAUGCUCUCUCUCCCCCACUCUCUCUCUCUCUCCUUCUCUCUCCCUCUCUCUCGUGGGCAGUCUCCGCUGAAAGGGGAGCAGGAGGGCGGAGCAGCGACGGGGCUUUUUCUGGGACAGGUGCCAAUUCCAAACAAAAGACACAAAAAGCCAAAAAAAAAGAGUGAGAUAGUUCCCAACGACAGGCAGAAAAAGUGGCAUGUUUCAAGAACUGAUUUGUAGUAAUAACAUGUGUGUGCAUGUGUAACUAUUCUCCUCUCGCAGGACUUUUUCUUUUUUUAUUGCAUGAGUGAGUAGCAGCACAGAUCUUGAAUCCUCGCCUCCCCCUCCUCCUCCUCCUCCUCCUCCUCCUUCUCUCCUCUGCUCUCUUGCUCCCGUGAAGGCAUUUGAGUUUCGAGCGGGGAAAAGAAGGAGGGGCGGGGUGGAGUUGGGAAGGGGCAGCGGGAGGCGGAGCCUCUCCUCCUCUCCUCCCCGUGAGCCUUCUGCAUUAUUCAUAUGCCCGGGCCAGCGCUGCAUUCUGACUGGCUGCCUGGCUUAGCAUUCACCCGACAUUCAGCGGCUCUGUUUGCUAACAUUCCUCAUUCAAAGCCUUGUUAACUGCCAGACGGGAGGAACACGCGACUCCAUGGGAAACCCACAUGGCCUCCUUAUUGUGGCGGGCCCUGACAGUCUCAGACUAGGAGGUGGCAGACAUGGGGAGAGCGAAAGGGGAGCCGGUUUGUAAAUAUUAGAAAGCAGUUAGCUGAGGUGAGGCAGGUUACCCGAGGCUACGAGGCAGGGUUUCGUGGGGUAAGGUGGCCGGAUUGACAGGGUAAAGCCCAGACAGAGGGGGCAGACAGAUGGGCAGACAGACAUAUAGACAAGGCGUUGAGGCAGACAGGGAGGCUGGCACUUUGUGGGACUCUGAAUGGGUCUCUCGUUGGCGUGUCCGCCUACUCCUUGCAGGGAGUGCAGAGCUGUGUGACUGAAUCCGAGCUCCUUCUCUGCCCUUCUCUACAGAGAGGAUAUGUGGACAUACUGUGGACAGCUACGGAGAGAAUCCAGCACAAUGAACGGCGGAGAUUUCGGGCGCUUUACCCCGGAUAGCUGACUGACUGUGGUGCGUGUGCCAGUGGCCUCAAAGUCUCAGUGGGCUCGUUAUUUGGGGAUGACUUCAUUUUCCUGCACAGACCUCAAUUACAAGGCUGAGGAAACCUGAGAGGAAGACGAGCUGACAGACCUGAAGCCGACGCUGCAAAGAAGAGGUGACCUGACGAGAAUAAGUGACUUCCAGGAAGUAUUUUUUUGACGGCAGUCUUUCAUUUUGUAACAAUUUAGGCACAAAGAAAUGAUCUCAGUUCACGACCCAGGUUUUACUCUGCUCGGCUCUAACAUCAGAUUGGAUUUCCUGUGCAUAUAGAUAAAAAAUAACCACAAAUUUCAAAACAUAAAGCGAUUAAAAAAGAACAUUUCAUAAAUACAGCAACACCUACGUAGAAAAUCAAGCAGUUUGAAUUUAGGUUGAGUCGUUAUUAUAAAAAUUAUUUUGCAUUCUGGAUUAUCUGUAAACUAAGUUUUUUUUUCAAAACUAUUGAAAUUUUGUUUAACAUUAAAAUAAACUGCAGCAAUUCAAUUAAACAGAAUUAGAGAUGACGGUCAUAAAAAUAAGUGAAUUAAAUGAUAAUAAUAAUAAUAAUAAUACAGUAAUAUUGCAUCAGUAUGUAGGAUUAUUGCUGACUCUUGGAGAAGAGUGUGUGACAAAAUGAUGAACUUAAAAUUGAGGCCCCCUCAAAGCUUUUAACAGCAGCUCACUGUCUUCAUCAGCAGAUAUAUAUUUCAGUCCUUAAAAAAGAGUAGGUUAAAUAUUUUCUAUUACAUUCACUUGUAUAUUUUGUCAUUUUUAUGAACACACACUUUGCAGUUUAGUUGAGUUUCCUGUAGCUGUGCUUCGUGUGUCUUUUCCUGGUUUUGUGCGGGCCUUUUGUCGUUUGGAGUUUGUGUUCUCGCACGUCGACCAUCGGCCACAAGACACGAGAGACGCCUGCGGGAGAUAAACUGUCCUUUGGGGUGAGGUAGUAGGUUGUAUAGUUUUAGGGUCAUUCCCAAGCUGUCAGAUGACUAUACAACUUACUGUCUUUCCUGGAGCGACUGUGAUGGCAGCAGCAGCAAUCGUCAUCGUCGUCACAACGGAAAAUGCAACUUCAAGUCCUCGCGAAGGAGGCGACGUAGAAGAGAAGUAGACGAGUUAGCAAGCAACGUUGGGCAUGAUGUUUUUAGACGAUUAAGGUGUAGAUUGUACAAAUAGAUGCUGCAGCAUGAAGAGGGGAAGAUUUUCUUUAUAUCUAGGCUGCCCAUUUUGAUUAACUGACGUUUAUUAGUGCAUUAUUGCUGAGGUGUAUGAUAGAUUACUGAUAUGUUUUGGAAUUUAAACAAACUUUUUAUGUUUUUUUCACUCUUAAAAUGUUACUUCAAAUGUACUUGUACGUGUCCAUUAGUUAAUAUUUGAAUAAUGUUUUUUACUUGAAGCACUCUUAAUGUUAGCAUCACAAACCUUGCUGUAUUUGCUACCCAUGAUGUCGUUUUCAUUGUCGUCAUUUACAAAGUGAGCACAUCCUCCUCCUCCUACCCACCUCGGGUGACUUAUGGUGUUCGUACAGGGUGAGGUAGUAGGUUGUGUGGUUUCAGGGUUGUGAUUUUACCCCAUCAGGAGCUAACUAUACAACCUACUGCCUUCCCUGGAGGGCAGCAAUACAUCACAGGAGCACACAGAUGUCUUGGUCACCUUUCUACUUAGGAAAAAACGGACAGAUUCUCAUUAACUAAGGACAGGCACUGAUGUCAAAGGUUUCAUUUAAUGGGUGAGUGGUGCUAAAUCAUACUAUGCAUUUCAUAGGAAGCAUGGAGCGUGCAGUUGUGUUUAGAGAUUUGUGAUUUACCUUUGUACCGUUUCAUUAAAAUAAAUAAAGACUGGAAAGAAAUAUGUACGAACAA